AUGCCAGUGUUAUAACUCUAUCUUUAAAAUCUCUGUGUUGUGACUGUUCAUACACUGGGUUUUAACCAAGUCACUGACAAGAUGAAUGGUUUUCUCUUGGAAUUACAAUGCUGUGUCGGAAAAACCUUAGAAUAAAAUUCAAAAGAGUAUGGUUCUGAGUCAGACCACCACUUAUUUCAUUUAGUGAUUUUUGAGACAAAUCCCACAGACUCUGUGUCAGUUCAGCUAUCAAGUGAAUAUACAAGGACAAAUCCUAUGCUUAAUGUUUUAUACAUAUUUUUGUAUUCAUGAUUUUACCUUGACACUGAUGUUAACAAGCUAUUGAAGGGUUUCAUUGGUAUCAAACACAACUGAAUCUUGACCUAACUAUAGAUUGACUGACGUUAAGUAAGCUAAAUGGUCUCCUCAAGAUUCUAUGCCUACGUCUUCAUUUUAAAAUGAGUUCAUAUACUUAUAGUUCAUUUCUCAUCAGAUUGCUGUGAAGUCAAAAGUGAAAAAGCAUGUAAAGUGCCUUGCACAAAGCCUUCAUAUAAAAGGGAGUUAUCUUCAAGUCUCAGCUAUCCCUUUAACAAGGCUCACUCUGCUUUUCUCUUUUUUCCAAGGAAAAACACACGUUGUAAAAUAAGCAUUCUUCAAAGACAACCUGAAGACGUCUGGGAAUUCCAAAGGCUGAAAAUUCCAUGAGUUCAUAGAAGCUUUCACUAAUUCCACAGAUUUAAAGACAAAAGAGAGAGAGUCAACUGUGUGCCCAAACUCAUUUCUGAUGAUUUCUUCCAUCCUACCCUUUCUGCCUCUCUGGGGGUGGCUGUGCCUGUAAAAAACAUUGAAGUUGUCAGGAACAGAGUCUGCUUUCAAGACUGGAAUGUCAGAGUAGAGACUUCUGUUCCUCAGACCAGAAGAGACUUGAUUUGGUAAGAGUUUCCAGGUCUGAAAGGAGACAGAGCUGGGACAUGGGAACUGAUACAGAUAAACAGCACAAACACCUUGAGAGAGUGAUAUAUCAAGAGAGACUAGAAUAGGACAAGAACAAGAUCAUGACACAAGAUGAGAUAAGAAACCAGAAGACCCUGUCUAAAAGCUCUAAUGUGUGUUGCAACCAGAGGUUGACCAUAUCCCACGAAAUUCCACGUUACAUAAUUGCAAUGGGUAAUGGGCGCUUCCUUGUAAAAAGGAGAGAUUUGUUUUCCCUUUUAUGGCUAAAGUAAAAAGCAUGAGAAGUAGCCCCAUUAGGAAGAAUCAAGUGUCAUCAUGUGAACUGGCACAUCUCAGAUCGUGGACUACAGACAGCACAAGACUAUGAUCCCUAAGAAAAAGAAAACAGAUGAGAUUUGUAUUCUCUGAUGUCUCCCCUUGCCUACACUUGGUGCUUCUCUGAUUUAAUUGUUUGGAAGCAGUCACUGGAAGCAAGGCUAUGUGACUCAGCUUUGGUGAUGCAGUCCAGCUGGGGUCUGACAGUCUGAAAUUGUGGCGCACGCACCUUUGCUCUGAGCAGAGUCUCCACCACAGCUAUGAAUGGGGGGGUCUGGGAGACAAACACCCUCUCUUGUCAGAAUGAGCACAACCCCGAAGAAAACAUCACAACCCCGAAGGAAAUUACCGACAUCUUAAGGAAAUGGUUCUGACUGAGGUCUUCCAACAUGCAAUACUAUGUGCUGACUCAGGGAAAACUUAAGGCAACAUGCUGAAAACAUUUACAGGCCCGGAAAAUAACUGGUUUAAUAAUUCAAGAUGCUUUUAAGUUACAAAAAGAAUACUUAAAAACAAAUAAACCACCCUUUCCAAAAGCCGUGUCGUAGAGUCGGCCACUCUUGAAAUGAAAAAAACAGAGCUUGCCAUCAAAUGCAAAUUCAGCCUCUGAAACUCCUCAACAAUGGACAAAGA